rnacentral:rRNA from 1 species
UGAGGAAUAUUGGUCAAUGGACGCAAGUCUGAACCAGCCAAGUAGCGUGCAGGAUGACGGCCCUAUGGGUUGUAAACUGCUUUUAUAUGGGGAUAAAGUGGGGAACGUGUUCCCUUUUGCAGGUACCAUAUGAAUAAGGACCGGCUAACUUCGUGCCAGCAGCCGCGGUAAUACGAAGGGGGCUAGCGUUGUUCGGAUUUACUGGGCGUAAAGCGCACGUAGGCGGACUAUUAAGUCAGGGGUGAAAUCCCGGGGCUCAACCCCGGAACUGCCUUUGAUACUGGUAGUCUUGAGUUCGAGAGAGGUGAGUGGAAUUCCGAGUGUAGAGGUGAAAUUCGUAGAUAUUCGGAGGAACACCAGUGGCGAAGGCGGCUCACUGGCUCGAUACUGACGCUGAGGUGCGAAAGCGUGGGGAGCAAACAGG